UACGAAGGGGGCUAGCGUUGCUCGGAAUCACUGGGCGUAAAGGGCGCGUAGGCGGCGUUUUAAGUCGGGGGUGAAAGCCUGUGGCUCAACCACAGAAUGGCCUUCGAUACUGGGACGCUUGAGUAUGGUAGAGGUUGGUGGAACUGCGAGUGUAGAGGUGAAAUUCGUAGAUAUUCGCAAGAACACCGGUGGCGAAGGCGGCCAACUGGACCAUUACUGACGCUGAGGAGCGAAAGUGUGGGGAGCGAACAGG
rnacentral:rRNA from 1 species